rnacentral:rRNA from 1 species
AAAGUAUUACAGUAGCUUAUUUAAAUGCUUUAAUAUCUAUUAUUUACUUAUAUUUUUUUUAUUUUUCUUAAGAUAUGUAAUUUAGGCAAUUAUUUAUUUUACCUAGUGGAUUUUUUAAUUCUGAUUAAUACUAUUGUGCCAGCUAUCGCGGUUAUACAAGAAGAAUAAGUAUUUAUUGUAAAAAGUUGUAAUGAAGUAAAGAAAUAUCUUUAAUAUUAGUUUAAUAUAUUUUAUAGGUAUAUUAUUACAUAAUAAUAAAAACGGAUUAGAUACCCGUGUAUUUUAUGUAUUUAAUAAUUUAUUUAGUAAAAAAAAAUUAAACUGUUAGACGGUGUAUUGUUAACUACAGGGAAAUUCGUUAAUUAAUUGAUAAUCCUCGUUAAUUCUACCUUAUAUUAAGGUUGUGUAUGUCCGUCAAGUAACCAUAUUAUAAUAUGUAUAUACUAAUAAUAGUUUAAGAUUAUAUGUCAGGUCCACAUGCACUUAUUAUAAGGGUUUAAUGAAUUUUUAUAUAUAUUUUUUUUUAUCAGGAAAAAUGUUAUUUUUGAAUGCAAACCUGUUAGUAAUUUAAGUUUUAUUGAUAAUUAAAUGAAUUAUGUUAAUAAUGAGUACUCACCGCCCGCUAUUUAAUUAUUUUUAUAAUUAAAAAGGCGUAACAAGGUAGUUUAUUUAGAAAAAUAAACUGGUCC